AUUGAAAGCUGGCGGCAGGCUUAACACAUGCAAGUCGAGCGAGCGGCGGACGGGUGAGUAAUGUAUGGGAAACUGCCUGAUGGAGGGGGAUAACUACUGGAAACGGUAGCUAAUACCGAAUACCCUCAGAUGUGCCCAGAUGGGAUUAGCUAGUAGGUGGGGUAAUGGCUCCACUAGGCGACGAUCCCUAGCUGGUCUGAGAGGAUGACAGGCAACACUGGACCUGAGCCACGGUCCAGACUCCUACGGGAGUCAGAAGUGGGGAAUAUUGCACAAGGGGCGCAAGCCUGAUGCAGCCAUGCCGCGUGUGUGAAGAAGGCCUUCGGGUUGUAAAGCACUUUCAGCGAGGAGGCGUUACUCUCAGAAGAAGCACCGGCUAACUCCGUGCCAGCAGCCGCGGUAAUAC
rnacentral:rRNA from 1 species